ensembl:lncRNA
AUUCUUAACAUAUUUAAAUCCCUAACGCCGCCUUCACACUAGCAGUUGAAAUCGUUCUAAUCUCUCCGCCAUUUUUGUUCUACUCGCUUCCAACGCUUUUCAACGGUGUAGUACGACAUCCGCCAGGGGUGUAUUGCGUUUUACAGAGCUAAUUUCAACUGCCAGUGUGAAGGCGGUGUAACACCAGUUAUUUUCUGCAAACUAUUUACAAUUAUAUUCCAUCGAAGUGUUUGAUGCAAGAUACAUAUUGAUAGUUCACAAAUCUAUUGCAAUAAAAUACAAAGCGAUAACUCCUUCCAUGGUGGAACAUUCUUCUGUCCGGUCAACCACAUCUCUCACAACAUUCCAAAUGAAUACUUGACAGCAAAACACACUAACCCUUUCUCUUUCUCUCAACAUGUAGUGGUCUAGCUUUUGUUAAAACCAGUAACUUUGUAUUAGCACCUACUGUAUUAUUUCUCCUGUAUGACAUAUCGCUUAUUGCUUCCUGAACUCUUUGUGUUUUGGAUAAAAACAUUUGCUAAAUGACUAAAUGUAAAUAUAAAGGUAAACUCAUUAGAACCCAUUAUAAUUCUAAAUGUUGUGCAAAUGCACCACACAAACAAAAAUCAGAUGUGGGGGUAUAAUUUGUAAAUCAGACGAAAUCCAUAGAUAAUACUAAUCUGAACAGUGCAAUAUUGUUGUAGAAAUGUUGAUGAUGAUUCAGGAAAUGCACCAAGUGAUGGUGAAAAACUGUAAGACAUUCCUUUUCUGCUUGAAGGCUCAGCUGUUCUUGUCACUUAGUUGUAUUGUUCAAUAAUCUUAACAAUUAAUGAUUACUGAUAUUACUUGGUUGUCUUUUUUCUUUUGUCAGAGUUCUUACCAACAGAUUGAUGGCAACAAUGAACAUGGACAGCUCAGGGGUGAAGAAGGCCUUUGGAAAAACACUGCUAUGCCAUGUUAUAAUAGGUGCUGUACAGCAGUCAAAACCUUCUGCGUCAGAGGCCGAAAUAAAGAAAUACAAGGGCAGCUAUCUCCGGUCUGCUCCUGAUAGAUAUGGGGGUAUGGGAUGGCAAAAGGGGAAAUCGGCCAUUGAGGUCUGUUCAGACUCUGAAUAAGUAGAAUGCACCUAUUGUUUAUCUACAAUGUUUCUGUUCAUUAAUUUCUUUAUCUACGAAACAAAUUACAAAACUGGUUUUAUUUUAAUUUAACCCUCUGAGGCCUAGGGGGUUUUGGGGGCCUGGAGAAAUUUUGACAUCCCCUGACUUUUGUGCUUUUUUCAGUUGCUUAUAUAUGUAGUGUUUCUUCUGUUGCAGUGUAUCCAAUAGACUUUGUACACGGAUAUAGUUAUAACUCAGAACCACAUAUUUAUUACAGAACUGUGAUGAGUGGGGCGGGGCCGAGAGCCGUGGGAACGGAGCNUUUGUCAUUAUUCUUGUGGUCUAGAAUAGGACAUCAAUGUGUUAAAAAAUGUACAUAGCUUAUGUAAUUUGAUCAGGUUGGUUACAGAUCCAUUACGUUCCUGUUGAGAAAGCGUAAUUCGUAAUAUUUAUUAUUAUUUUAUACUUUUUUAAAUAUACUUUAUGUUAAUUUCAAUUACUGGCAAGAAUACUUUUUUGAGUGUAUUGUAACCUCUGUUCCCUGAUGUUUUUAUGCAUUCCUGUUAAAGACAUCAAGUUCUUAACUUGUUGUUCUGGGUAAAUUAAUAUUUUGUUCUAACAAAUGCCUUUUGCCUGAAGGCUUUACAUUAAUCAACAAUAUGGUAAUGAAGAAACCCCUGAAAAUACGAAUGAAGCUUGCUACACAAGUGUAGAGUUCACAAGUUGAGAAGAAACUGUUUCCAGUAAAAUAAAAAUGGCAGAGAAGUAGUAUGACUGAACCUU